CCUACGGGAGGCAGCAGGUNGGAAUAUUGGACAAUGGGCGCAAGCCUGAUCCAGCCAUGCCGCGUGCAGGAAGAAGCAUCUAUGGUGUGUAAACUGCUUUUGUACAGGAAGAAACACUCCCUCGUGAGGGAGCUUGACGGUACUGUAAGAAUAAGGACCGGCUAACUCCGUGCCAGCAGCCGCGGUAAUACGGAGGGUCCAAGCGUUAUCCGGAAUCAUUGGGUUUAAAGGGUCCGUAGGCGGUUUAAUAAGUCAGUGGUGAAAUCUGGUCGCUCAACGAUCAAACGGCCAUUGAUACUGUUAGACUUGAAUUAUAAGGAAGUAACUAGAAUAUGUAGUGUAGCGGUGAAAUGCUUAGAUAUUACAUGGAAUACCAAUUGCGAAGGCAGGUUACUACUUAUGGAUUGACGCUGAUGGACGAAAGCGUGGGGAGCGAACAGGAUUAGAUACCCUGGUAGUCCACGCCGUAAACGAUGGAUACUAGCUGUUCGGAGCAAUCUGAGUGGCUAAGCGAAAGUGAUAAGUAUCCCACCUGGGGAGUACGUUCGCAAGAAUGAAACUCAAAGGAAUUGACGG
rnacentral:rRNA from 1 species